GUUGAAAAACAUUUACUGUUAUAUAUAUUUCCUUGUCAUAAAACACUGCAAUAUUUAUCACCCAUCUUACUGGAAAUUCUCUGAACUUAUGAACUGAAGGCUGUUCAAAAUGUUAUCUGAUUGGUAUUUCUCAACACUUUCCCAAAGUUUUAUAUUUCCUUGAAAUUUGAAUUAUUUGCUAUCAUAAAAAAUAGGUGACCAUUAAAAGAAAUAGGUUUGAAUUUCCAACCCCUAUGUCACACUUUUGCUUCAUUAUUUUGAAAACCACCAAUAUAUUUCCUCAUAUUUUUUAUACUAUACUAUACUAUACUUACUUAUUUCGGAUGAAGAUAUAAAUUUAUUCAAAGAAAUAAUGGGACAAUGAAUGCUAAAAUUGCCAAGAAGAAGACUGCCAAUUUACACACCAUUUUAUACAGUUACAGUAUGAUAUGGUGAACAAAAUGCCUCAAUGCAGCCAGUUCUGGAGCUUUGGCUAGACUAUGAACAGUAGACAUCAAAAGAUGAUCAUCUGAAGGGCCACUAUUGUUUAAAGCACUGGUCAACAAAAACUGAACUAUUUGAUUGAUCAUACAUGUGCAGAAUGUACAACCAUAUUUCCAGAAUCAAAGAAAGUAUUAGAGAGAAAGAAAAGUAUGCAUCAUGUAUGAAGAACUGCCUAAGAAUAAUUUGCAAAAUACAUUGAAAUCUAACAAUUGCUAAUUGCAUAAGGAAGUUAAGAAAGGUGUACUCUUCUGGAAAAUAUGUGUCCAGUGCAACAUUUCUUUUCCAAUUUUGUGAGCAUAAUUCUGAAUAAAAAUUGCAACAUGGCUACAGGGAUAAUACAAAAGGUUUAAUCUUAUUUCCAAACACAUUGGGGGAAUCAGAGAAGAAAUAUCAAGAAUUAGGGAAAAAGAAAUAAUUGUCAUGAAUGAAGAACUUGCUUUUUAAUAAUUUAAAAAAUACUUUUUAUCCUCACAACUGUUAAUGAUAUUAUGAAUAUGGAAGUUAAAAGUGUGGACUUUGAUUAAUCUUCAACUUCUCUGAGCAUAGUUCUACAUAAAAAUUGUAACUUUAUAAAAUAGUCUUGUAGAAAAAGUGUAAGACUUUCAUACUUGUUUUAUAGAAAAUGUUUCUGGAUGUUUCAAUGUAAGUUUGCUAGACCCAGACCACUAGCUCCUAAGUCAAGGUUACACUUAGAUGUCAAAGGUUAAAAGGGUCUGUUUCUGUCUGGUCAAUAACUGCCAUACAUAAAGGGAUUUUGGAAUUACUCGGCAUAAAUGUUCACCAUAAAGAGACAACGUGUUAUGCGCAAGACCCAAACCCUUGCUCCAAGGUCAAGGUCACGCUUAGAGGUCAAAGGUUAAUAGAGUCUUUUUGGUGUCUGGUCAAUAACUCUGCGAUCCAUGAAGGGACUUUUAGAUAACUUGGCAUAAAUGUUCACCAUAAUGAAACCAGGUGUCAUGCCCAAGACCAAGACCCCUAGCUCGAAGGUCACACUUGGAGGCCAAAGGUCAGAUACAAAAAUGACUUUGUCCGUAGCAUUUCUUGUUCAUGCAUGGAGGGAUUUUGAUGUACAAUGGCAAAAAUGUUCAUCAUUAUGAGAUGGUGUGUCAUGAGUAAGAACCAGGCCCCUAAUCCUUUGCUGUUACUAUAAACAGCUAUUACUGUAAAAGUUCUAUUCUAUUAACCCUUAUCAUGCUGAACAUGAUUUAUUCUGUCUUUGCGACCAGUGUAGAUCAUGAUCAGCCUGCAGAUCCAUGCAGUCUGAUGGUGAUCAGCACUGUUCGCGAUUCAAUCAGUAUAUUUUUGGUAAGCAUCCCGUUUAACAGUUAAUGGUACUGUCCAAAUUGAAAAAUGGACAAGUUCAUUAUAGAAAUUCAGCAAGGUAUGGGUUAAUAUUAGCCCUAGGAGAAAAUUGGGACUACUUUUCUGUAGUACAACACGCAUGUUAUAUCCAAUUUUUGAUGUAUUUUGACGUAAGGCUACCUGAUAAGUACUUUUGUGUGGACUUAGAUUUUUUUCAGAUUAACUUCUCUUUGUUGUAACUAUAAACAAUAUAUAGACAACUUUUUAUAAUUGACCGUAGGGAGAAAUCAAGACCAUUUUUAGCUUCACUAUUCGGAGAAUAGGGGGGAUAUACUACUCGCCCCGGCGUCGGCGUCGGCGUUACCUUUCUUGGUUAAAGUUUUUCGGCAACCUUUGUUUUUCUGUCAUAUCUUUGUUACUAUUGCUUGUAUCUUACUGUAACUUCACAUAAACAUUUUCUAGUAUACAAACAAAGUAUGUGUAGGGGCUGAGCCCAUUAUACCCAAGGUCAAGGUCACCAAGGUGUUAUACUUAGAUUAUUUUUAAGGUUAAAGUUUUUCGGCAACCUUUGUUUUUCUGUCAUAUCUUUGUUACUAUUGCUUAUAUCUUACUGUAACUUCACAUUAACAUUGUCCAGUAUACAAACAAAGUAUGUGUAGGGGCUGAGCCCAUUAUACCCAAGGUCAAGGUCACCAAGGUGUUAUACUUAGGUUAUUUUUAAGGUUAAAGUCUUUCGGCAACCUUUGUUUUUCUGCCAUAUCUUUGUUAAUAUUGCUUAUAUCUUACUGUAACUGUAACUUCACAUAAACAUUGUCCAGUAUACAAACAAAGUAUGUGUAGGGGCUGAGCCCAUUAUACCCAAGGUCAAGGUCACCAAGGUGUUAUACUUGGGUUAUUUUUAAGGUUAAAGUUUUUCGGCAACCUUUGUUUUUCUGUCAUAUCUUUGUUACUAUUGCUUAUAUCUUACUGUAACUUCACAUUAACAUUGUCCAGUAUACAAACAAAGUAUGUGUAGGGGCUGAGCCCAUUAUACCCAAGGUCAAGGUCACCAAGGUGUUAUACUUAGGUUAUUUUUAAGGUUAAAGUCUUUCGGCAACCUUUGUUUUUCUGCCAUAUCUUUGUUAAUAUUGCUUAUAUCUUACUGUAACUGUAAAUUCACAUAAACAUUGUCCAGUAUAUAAACAAAGUAUGUGUAGAGGCUGAGUCCAUUAUACCCAAGGUCAAGGUCACCAAGGUGUUAUACUUAGAUUAUUUUUAAGGUUAAAGUUUUUCGGCAACCUUUGUUUUUCUGUCAUAUCUUUGUUAGUAUUGCUUAUAUCUUACUGUAACUUCACAUAAACAUUGUCCAGUAUACAAACAAAGUAUGUGUAGGGGCUGAGCCCAUUAUACCCAAGGUCAAGGUCACCAAGGUGUUAUACUUGGGUUAUUUUUAAGGUUAAAGUUUUUCGGCAACCUUUGUUUUUCGGUCAUAUCUUUGUUACUAUUGCUUAUAUCUUACUGUAACUUCACAUUAACAUUGUCCAGUAUACAAACAAAGUAUGUGUAGGGGCUGAGCCCAUUAUACCCAAGGUCAAGGUCACCAAGGUGUUAUACUUAGGUUAUUUUUAAGGUUAAAGUCUUUCGGCAACCUUUGUUUUUCUGUCAUAUCUUUGUUAAUAUUGCUUAUAUCUUACUGUAACUGUAACUUCACAUAAACAUUGUCCAGUAUACAAACAAAGUUUGUAUAGGGGCUGAGCCUAUUAUACCCAAGGUCAAGGUCACUAAGGUGUUAUACUUAGGUUAUUUUUAAGGUUAAAGUUUUUCGGCAACCUUUGUUUUUCUGUCAUAUCUUUGUUACUGUUGCUUAAUCUUACUGUAACUUUACAUAAACAUUGUCCAGUAUACAAACAAAGUAUGUGCAGGGCUGGGCCCAUUAUACCCAAGGUCAAGGUCACCAAGGUCUUACACUUAGGUUAUUUUUAAGGUUAAAGUUUUUCGGCAACCUUUGUUUUUCUGUCAUAUCUUUGUUACUUUUGCUUAUAUCAUACUGUAAGUUCAACUUUGUCCAGCAUACAAACAAAGUAUGUGUAAGGGCUGGGCCCAUUAUACCCAAGGUCAAGGUCACCAAGGAGUUAUACUUAGAAUUAUUUUCAUGUUAUUUUCCGAAAUUUUGUUUAUAGACAUAUCUUUGGUAUUUUGAAAGAUAAUGACUUGAAAUUAAAAGUAUUUAUUUAUGAUCAUCUGCAUGUGUGGCUACGUACCCCAUAACUCUAAUUGUGUUUUUGAUAGAAUUAUGCCCCUUUUGUACUUAAACUUUUUUGCAAUCUUCGCUCUAUGAAUACUACUUUAAUGCAAUAUAAGAUAAAGACUUGAAACUUUAAAUGUAUCUUUAUCAUCAUCAUCUGCAUGUGUGGUAACAAUCCCCAUAACUCUGAUUUGUAUUUUUGACCAAAUUAUGCCCCUUUUAUACUUAAAUUUUUUACAAACUUUGUUUUCUGGACAUAAAUUUGGUGCUAUAUAAGAUAAUGACUUGAAACUCAAAAUAUAUCUUUAUCAUCAUCAUCUGCAUGUGUUGUAACAAUCCUAAUAACUCAGAUUUGUGUAUUUGAUGGAAUUAUGCCCCUUGGUGUAUCUUCCUUUUAAAGUAGAGGUCUCUUAUUCAGACAUAUAUUCAUUUUACUGUCAAAUCCCCGAAUAGUGGAGCCCGUUGUCUUACGGACAGCUCUUGUUCUGUGUUACUUUCAAAUUUUAGGAGUACUUUAAGGUACCUCUUCUGGUAAGGAGUUUUUUGUGGACUUAAAAAAUCAAAACUUAACUUCCCUUUGUUGCUACUAUAUAAAACGAUUAUUCUUGAAACUUUUUACGCUGGUUGUUAGAAUUGGAUAUGUCAUUGUUUUGGCUUUCUGUCUACCAAACUUAUAGUUUUGUACAGAAAAUGUUUUAUUAUAUCAUCUUUCUGACGAGCAUAUAUUUAACAUCCUGGCACUCUUGUUUUAUUUUGUUCAUGCCAAGAUGCUGUAUUGGCAUACAGUAUGUAUGAUGAAAAUGUCCUUAGGCAGGGGACGUUGCUAACUCUAUUACAAAUUCUUGUUGUCGUUUUUUCUGGAGUUGUUGCCCUAUUUGAUCUUGAACUAAUUCAUCACAUCGUGAACUCGUGAACUUAAGUCGAACAAAUCCAUCCAACUGAAUUGAAACUAGGUACACAUCAGAAGCAUGAAAUGAAUACGUACAUGUUGCCCUGACUUUUAUGACCGAUUAUUUUGUCUGGAGUUGUGGCCCUUCUUUAACAAUGGAUGACAACUACAUUGUAGUUUCCUUCUCUUCAUUUCAAAUAAAACUUGUUAAGCAUCAUAAACAUUAUGUAGACAUGCGCAUCUGUUUCUUGUUCAGUUGUUUAACUUCUAUAUAUUUUUCCUUAAUAACAUUACUGACCCGUCGUUAUUAUAAGUUAUUGAAUGAAACAUUUUUGUCGACAUCAUUCUAGUUCGCUUUGCAACCUCCGUGAAGGAAUAUUGUCAAACUAUACCGAUAAGGGGAAGAGUUUGCUUCCUUUUGUAGCACAACUGUCUAUGCAUUAUUGUGCCUUGCUCAUAUACAUAACACUUUUAUUUGAGUGAACAUGCAUGAAUUUGUUAUACUGCAAAAUAAAACUGUCAUCAUU